rnacentral:rRNA from 1 species
AUUGAACGCUGGCGGCAGGCCUAACACAUGCAAGUCGAGCGGAUGAAGGGAGCUUGCUCCUGGAUUCAGCGGCGGACGGGUGAGUAAUGCCUAGGAAUCUGCCUGGUAGUGGGGGAUAACGUCCGGAAACGGGCGCUAAUACCGCAUACGUCCUGAGGGAGAAAGUGGGGGAUCUUCGGACCUCACGCUAUCAGAUGAGCCUAGGUCGGAUUAGCUAGUUGGUGGGGUAAAGGCCUACCAAGGCGACGAUCCGUAACUGGUCUGAGAGGAUGAUCAGUCACACUGGAACUGAGAAACGGUCCAGACUCCUACGGGAGGCAGCAGUGGGGAAUAUUGGACAAUGGGCGAAAGCCUUAUCCAGCCAUGCCGCGUGGGUGAAGAAGGUCUUCGGAUUGGAAAGCACUUUAAGUUGGGAGGAAGGGCAGUAAGUUAAUACCUUGCUGUUUUGACGUUACCAACAGAAUAAGCACCGGCUAACUUCGUG